rnacentral:rRNA from 1 species
GUGGGGAAUAUUGGACAAUGGGGGGAACCCUGAUCCAGCCAUGCCGCGUGUGUGAAGAAGGCCUUUUGGUUGUAAAGCACUUUAAGCGAGGAGGAGGCUACCGAGAUUAAUACUCUUGGAUAGUGGACGUUACUCGCAGAAUAAGCACCGGCUAACUCUGUGCCAGCAGCCGCGGUAAUACAGAGGGUGCAAGCGUUAAUCGGAUUUACUGGGCGUAAAGCGCGCGUAGGUGGCCAAUUAAGUCAAAUGUGAAAUCCCCGAGCUUAACUUGGGAAUUGCAUUAGAUACUGGUUGGCUAGAGUAUGGGAGAGGAUGGUAGAAUUCCAGGUGUAGCGGUGAAAUGCGUAGAGAUCUGGAGGAAUACCGAUGGCGAAGGCAGCCAUCUGGCCUAAUACUGACACUGAGGUGCGAAAGCAUGGGGAGCAAACAGGAUUAGAUACCCUAGUAGUCC